GCGAAUAGCGCGGUCCUCCUCGAGGAAAGUCCGGGCUCCACGGACAGGUUGCCAGGUAACGCCUGGGCGCGCGUCACUGCGCGACGGAUAGUGCCACAGAGAACACACCGCCGAUGGCCUGCGGGCUUCCCGUGGGAUCAGGUAAGGGUGAAAAGGUGCGGGUAAGAGCCCACCGCGCAUCUGGCAACAGGUGCGGCAGGGUAAACCCCAGCCGGAGCAAGGCCAAAUAGGCAGCGAGAGGCCGUCCACCUCGACCAAGACGCUGCGGGUAGGCUGCUAGAGGGCGUGGGCGACUACGCUCGGAGAGGAAUGACCGUCCGGGCACCAACACAUAUCACAUAUCGGCGCCCGACAGAACCCGGCUUAUAGGUCGGUGGCGUUA
rnacentral:RNase_P_RNA from 1 species